GACGAACGCUGGCGGCGUGCUUAACACAUGCAAGUCGAACGGAAAGGCCCUGCUUUUGUGGGGUGCUCGAGUGGCGAACGGGUGAGUAACACGUGAGUAACCUGCCCUUGACUUUGGGAUAACUUCAGGAAACUGGGGCUAAUACCGGAUAGGAGCUCCUGCUGCAUGGUGGGGGUUGGAAAGUUUCGGCGGUUGGGGAUGGACUCGCGGCUUAUCAGCUUGUUGGUGGGGUAGUGGCUUACCAAGGCUUUGACGGGUAGCCGGCCUGAGAGGGUGACCGGCCACAUUGGGACUGAGAUACGGGCCAGACUCCUACCGGGGGCAGCAGUGGGGAAUAUUGCCAAAUGGGCGGAAGCCUGAUGCAGCAACGCCGCGUGCGGGAUGACGGCCUUCGGGUUGGAAACCGCUUUCGCCUGUGACGAAGCGUGAGUGACGGUAAUGGGUAAAGAAGCACCGGCUAACUACGUG
rnacentral:rRNA from 1 species